AAAUGUGAAAAGUUGUGAAAAACUUAAGUUUACAAAUGCAAAGUCACUUGAGAUUACAAAUGUCAACAACUUAAAACAAUCCAACCAGUAAACAUUACUACAAAUGUCAACAACUUAAAACAAUCCAACCAAUAUCAUGUUUACUGUUUCGCACAGCCAAAUUUAAUUCACUUAAACAAAAUUGAUAUAAUAGCAACAACCAAUGAGACAACAACAAUAACCAGAUACAUUUGCUCCCUUCUCUUGUAUUCAGCGAUCAAAGCUCGU
rnacentral:lncRNA from 1 species